GAGGAGCCUGGCAGGCUACAGUCCAUGGGGUUGCAAAGAGUUGGACACGACUGAGCAACUAAGCAACAGCAGCACCAUCCACUUCCUUCGACAUCGCGGCUUCACCCUGGGGUCGGUGACCCCUCUCAUUGCAGAGGUCCCCGCCUCGGAUUUGGCUGCUCGGCAGACCGGAAGCCACCCCACCCCCUCCCGCGCAUGCUCCGACCAUCUGAUGCCCGCCGCGCCGGUUUUUCUGGUUUCCGGCUACCAGGGGGCGCUAGGACCCAAUCGCACGUGCUAGGAGGGGCGGCGGCCAAGUGGUCCGGGAGCCGCGCGUUGGGGCGUAGGGGACCGUGGCUAGGAGCCCGGGAGGGCUGCGAGCCUACUCAAGCUGCUUUUUUUCUUCCAUCACCUUCUCCUUUCGCUGUGCAUGGGCCACGCAGUGGAACUGCAGCGGUGAAAACGACUGAAGUUGGGGCGCUGUAACCUCCUGGCAACCCUGAGGAGCGGCAGCAGAGGGCAAGGACCAUGUUCACUUGUUCCCUGGUCUAGGAGUGGUAUUUCUGGAUCAUAAGGGAAACACAAGUAAGAAUGGAGGGUGCUCUUCUCCCCAGAAGCUAACAAAGGGUCAGUCUUUCUCCGUGAAAUGGCUGUAGAAUAUAAACAGAGGCUCCUGGCAUUUCCCUGCUGGCUCAGUUCAAGAACCAUCCACUCCGAGUUGUCUUCCUGGAUUUCCUCAGCCCAAAGUAAUCCUUCUUUUUCUGAGGUACAAAAGAGGUUCAACAGUGAGUAUUGUAGAUGCUGAGCUUCAUCUGUGAACAAAACCUAACAAGUCUCUGACCACAUGGAACUCAUGAAGUGGACUCAGGGCCACACAGGAACAACUCACAGCAAACUACAGGGACACUCAUGACAUGUCUGUGCCCGGGGAAGUCCACCAAGUCUCCAGGUCUGAGGCAUUUAUGAGACAAAACUCAAGUCUCAAAUGAAAGGAUCCCUGAAGAGUUCCUUAUGAAUUUUGUCUCUGGGAACACGGCUCAGCAGCAUGGACACAGAAACAGCAGUGGUGGCUGAUUGCAUUGAUCCAGAUUUGGAAGUUGUGUGGCAGUUAAAGCAGAAGGAUAAGGUACCUCUUCUUUUGUGGUGCUGGAGAAGACUCUUGAGACUCCCUUGGACUGCAAGGAG